GUUUAGCCCCGAUAGAAGUGGAAAUCCUUUUGUGCCGAGGUUCGGCACAAAAGAUUGCAAUGGAUAGCGGGACUUCAG
rnacentral:sRNA from 2 species